GCCCCGGUUGCCUAGCCCGGUAACGGCGGCGGCCUCGUAAGCCGCAGAUCCCGGGUUCAAGAUAGGCAGGGGAA
rnacentral:tRNA from 1 species